rnacentral:rRNA from 1 species
UACGUAGGGUGCAAGCGUUAAUCGGAAUUACUGGGCGUAAAGCGUGCGCAGGCGGUUGUGCAAGACAGAUGUGAAAUCCCCGGGCUCAACCUGGGAACUGCAUUUGUGACUGCACGGCUAGAGUGUGUCAGAGGGGGGUAGAAUUCCACGUGUAGCAGUGAAAUGCGUAGAGAUGUGGAGGAAUACCGAUGGCGAAGGCAGCCCCCCUGGGAUAACACUGACGCUCAUGCACGAAAGCGUGGGGAGCAAACAGG